ACCGUCUUAACAGUUAGAGCAGCAGGUAUGCUGUCUGUUGUGCUGCUGUCUGCCUCAGAGUCAGAGUAUCAGUCUGUCUGUGAAGGUUUGUUAGUCUUAGAUACAAAUCUAUCUAUGUUUUAGCAACUGAGGUAUCACCUUCCUGCAUUGUAUAUUUAAUCUGCAAGUGCAAAUUUGUAAGUAAAAGUUAGUGGAUACUUAUACUCUAAAAGAGAGUGUCUAGCGCAAUUUUUAUAGGAGGGAAAGAGAGAACUAAUUAAAGGGUCAAACGACCCUUUGCGCUGACUUACGCAAAACUCUGCUAAAUGGGAACUAGAGUUUAAUUCCCACAUUUCCCAGUGUUCUUUUAAUUGGAGGUGCCAGUGAUUGACCCUCACACUGUAGGGGAACUUGAACCUGUCCAAAAUGUAGAAGAGAGAGCUUGUGCCCUAGAACUAAUUUGUGCUCUCCAGAUGUUUUUUAAACCACAACUCCCAUCUGCUGCUUGAGGAUGGUGGAAGUUGUAGUUCAAAACAUCUGGAGGGCACCACAUCAUUGAAGGCUGUUCUAGAAGACUCAGAGCUGGACAAGGUACGGCGAGACAACCACUUAAUAGCUAUUGUCGACAUUCUGUUCAAAUGUAACUCUAUAUGUGCCUAAUGCAUGUAUAAUUGUCAGCAUUGCAUUGCAUUUGCAAACAGUCUCUGUCCUCACUUAGAAGUGCCACUAACAUAAACGUAUUAAAUUAUUGCCAUUGCCUUUAGUGGAACGAUUACAUUUAUUUGUGGUGGGUGGGGUGCCUAAAACAGAUAAACGAUGCUUGAUUAGAAAGUUAACGCAGCUGGCUUUAUGAGCAGAGUACAGCCAAAGUUAAGCACACAGUUAAGCUGAAAUGAUUUUAACUCUCAGAUUGAAAUCAGUAGGUCUUGCAAGUGCCUAACUUGUCCGGAUUGCACUCUAUGUUUCUGUUUGGCUUGCUCUUUUAAGAAAGUGGUUCGUAUUACAUAUCCAUCAAUAAUGAAAUGGUACUGGGAAGAAGCUGAGGAAGACACUUGGUCAAAGCCAGAGGGAGCCAUCCUUGUUUUUAUGAAGUACCAGAAGCUUAGAAAUGUGCACUGUGUGUAUAUAUAUAUAUAUAUAUAUAUAUAUAUAUAUAUAAAAUUGAAGAAGGGUUUUUAUAGAAGCUUUGUUGUUUUAAAGAUGCAAAUUUGAUGUUUGAAUGCUCAUUUAGAAGACAGUAAAAGGUGUAUGAAAAUGUGCUAUAUGAGACACGUGGCUUGCCCUUUCUCCUCCAAAAAUACUAGCUAUCAGGGCUAGAAUCACUGCUGAGACCCCUAUGCCAAGGGGGACCCACAGCUGACUACCAGAGAUCCCCCCCAGCCCUGUUGCUGUUCCUUUCCCUGCUCACAGUUCACUCCCUCUGCUCCCCUAAUUUUUAGUCUGUGGCCCCACAGGCGGUUCACUUUUUGAUGUGUUUUUCUCUGUUAGGCUAAAACUAUCGAAUGCAAACUAGAGUGGCAGUUUCAUUCUCACACACCAGAUAUAUGGAAGGGGAACAAUUUAAAGCCUGUUUAACUGUAAAAGGCUUGUGAUCAAGAAAAUAAGAGUUUGGCCAAGGCUCUAGAGAUUUACAGUGGUACCUCUAGUUACGAACUUAAUUCGUUCCAGAGGUCCGUUCUUAAUCUGAAACUGUUCUUAACUAGAGGCGUGCUUUCGCUAAUGGGGCCUCUUGCGGCCGCUGCUAAAAAGAGAAAUUUGGAUAUGAAGUAGGGGGAGUUGGGAGAGAUGGAGGACAGAGUGGUGGGGAACUGCAGCAAAUUUUGGAGUAUGACUUUCCCCUGUGCAGGAUACUCCAUUCCAUUUCCCCUCCUACUAGAUUUCUAUUCCUCCUUCAACUUUCAGUCCUCAUUCUGUUGCAACUGAGCAUGUUAAGUUUUUCAUGGAGCUUCUGUGUUUGCGUGUGUUACUUGAGAAUGUGACAGAGGGGACUGAAAAAUAAAAAUUAACAUCAAAGACAGGAGUCCCUGUUGGGAGCUGCCCGGCGUGGCUGUGGCAACCCAGUCAGAUAGGCAGCUUAUUAUUAUUAUUAUUAUUAUUAUUAUUAUUAUCUGUCUUAAGGUGAUGUUUAUUUUUUAUUUUUAAAAAAUAAACACCUACAGCCUGAAAUUGAACAGUGGAUUACAUUGAAGGCUUCUGUAAGCUGCAUUCUUUUCAGCACAGCCUUUCAAUCUGCAAUAAGGGUAUAACUGAAUUGUGCAGGGGUUCUAAGCUACUCACUCGGCUUCUAAGCUACUCACUCAGAUUCUGCCCAACGCCUGACCUGCAGUAUGUGUGUGGGUGUUGGGUGUGAUGGGUAGGUAUCUCGUACAUAAGCACAUGUACAGGAUGACUCAGAUCACUAUUUAUUAGUAUAUAGAUAGCAAUGAUGAACAGUGGCAGGGAAAUGCUCGGUUUUUCAUAUACAUAUUACAGUUGCAAAUGACCUCCAUUUCUGAGCUACCUGAGAUUCUUUGCAUCUGCCUUGAUCAAAAUAUUUUAGAUGUUUUCCCCACCCCGCAUUCCAUUUUAGAUUUGCCUGAGGCAUCACGGCAAUAAAGCCUUUCUAAUAGAAGGGAAUGAGAGAUGCAUUAGCCAGUAUAUUUGACUCAAACCGUGUGCUGGGAACUGCUUUCAAGAAGUACAUUGGCCAUUUUGUUAAGAGUCAUUGGGAUUAUGGUAUUCUGCAGUCCACUAAAUAUUUAGAGAAGUGUGAAAAAGGAAAGCUCUGUGUACAAUAUAAAUUAGGUAUCUCUAGGGACUAAAAAGGUACAUUGGCUGAUUUUCUCUUCUUUUUUUUUUGGUAAAAAGUAUCUAGCUUACUAUGGGAAAAUAAUGAGUAAUUGCCAUGGCAACCUCCCUCUCAUAGGGUGCUCAUAUACUGCACACACAUAAAGAGAGAAUCGUAUCAAAUAAGGUAUCACACUUCAACUUCUUAUUUAGAUAUUUUUUUUCUUUCACAGGAUAGCCUACUCGCCCCCAAACCAUUCAGCAAGGGGAAAAAAAAUCAAAACUAAAUUAUGCUUGUUGGCAUAAACAAUAAUUUUCUUUUGAAAGGGGACAACGGGGAGUUCUAAGACUACAGCAAAAUGGCAAAGAAAGAUAACGACUCGUUUUUUUAAUAAUGGUUUGUGAUUCGAGGACCCGAUCCCCGCUUGGGGAAUAAAGACACGUGCACACAGAAUGUAAGGUUAAUGGGUAAGGUAAAGGCCACAACUUUAUUGAUUACAGCAUGUGAGAAGGUAUUGGCUUAGGCAUUGGACCACGGAACAUUAGACUCCACCCACUCGUAGAGGGGCGAGUCUGAGGAGGGGUUAACCACCAAUAGGGGAAGCCUGUUGAUGCUAAUCCAACUAUAGGCUCUCUUCCUGAUGUCACCGAGGGUCGUGCCAUGGCCCCCCGCCACACGGGCAUCGGACAGGAUCCACGACCGCCGGAUUCCUUUAGCGGAAUACCCAAAAUUGUCGGGGAAGGCGAUGGCCACACCUUGCCCCCCGAAACACCAACAACACAUUCCAAUGCCUAACCGCCACCCGAGCCAAAAGGCUCGCCGCCAAUACCCUCACAGCUGCAACCAAUCCCUGAGACUAUUGGAUAUGUUAGCCAGCCAUAUGUUGUUUCCACAAUCUGAAAGGUGAACGCCGUCAUCCCGGAAUAGGGUCUGGUCGCCAAUCUGGAUAUCAUCAUGAGAUAUAACUAGGCCAUUCAUAAAACGCACUUUGCGCGCUACCACGCGAUUCAAGAGUUUACUGGAUUUCUCAAAGGCCAUAAUGUUAUGCGCACCGCGCCAAACCUUUCUCUUCAAGAGAGAGGACCAGAACAGGGUUGUUCUGGGAAAUAAGGCAGCCAACUCAUCCAAGACCUUUCUCAUGUUCCACAACAAGUCCACACUCUUCCUGCUAGCCAGGUCGCUCUCACCCAGCUGAAUGAUUAGAAUGUUGGGGGGCCCAACAGCGCAGCUUUGGCCUUCAGCAGUGGCAUGAGUUCUUGCCAGCGCAUGCCCCUUCUCAACAACCAGGAAACUUGCACCCACGAUGGUAGCCGCAGAUUAGGCAUGAAGCCGGAACUUGCUGACUGGAGGCGGGCCCAAUGCACAAUACUGUGGCCGCAAAUCCACACUGGACUACCGAAGACAGCUAAGAAUAAAGAAAGAAAAGACAGGUAAGCGGAGCGUUCUCAGAAUACUUUUGUAGGCAUUAGAUUUCCAGCGGCCCAUCUCCUUGAUCCUGUCUGCCGGAAGGCCCAUGAGGCCGUUGUGGCCACACCAAUCCUAAAUGAAUGUGCUGCGUAGUCUUUUGGAAGGGAAAGCGCAGGCAUCUAUCGCUUUGCAAAGUACCCUGGUGAAUUGGUGCCUCAUCAACCGGUCCCAUCCUCAUGAAUGAAGAGCAAGCCAAGGCCGGGAGGUCUGAAGUAAAGGUAUCGCCUGGUGUCCUUUACUGGGCAUGGGCCCUUCUGACUGGAGGCCGUGAGUUGUACUACGGUGCCCUUACUGCCCUGGUCCAUCUUAGACUGAUGCACCCGCACCAUUACACCUGAACUGGACACCUGCACGUCCUCCAGGAGGAGGCUGCGCGUUGUUCCACUUGAGGUAGCUUCUGCUACCACCUCGCCAACCCACAAGGCACCAAAGAAGGCUAUAGCGUAUGCCGCAGAGAACAGCCGGGCCUCAAACUUGGACCAGCAAAUUGACCUAAGUUUCAUACGAUAGAGGAAAGGGACAAUACUUUGGACCUGAAACCUGUGAAGUCGCACCAUACUUUCUUAUAAGACCUGAGGGUAGAGGGUGCAACAGACGCUAAUACUCCCUUGAUCACUUCGCGUCUCCAAGGUUCCGUAGGUGAUCCGGAAAGGGUUCUGGCAGCAGCUGAGCCCAAGGUGCUAACGACCGGAAGCAAGGCAUCGGAGCACAAAUGAUCGAAGUAGGCGAGACCCCUCUCAGAACGCAAUGACUGCUAGCCAGUAUGUUAACCACGGCCUGGUUAUCAGUUCUGAAGCACACCCGGCGAUUCCGGAACUCCUCGGUCCAUAUGUGAACCACCACAACUAUGAGAAAAAACUCCAGAAAAGUGAGAUCCCGCAUGAUGGCCUCCCCUUGCCACUCUGCUGGCCAUUGUUGCGCGCACCAACAUCCCUUAAAGAACAGACCAAAGCCCAGGGCCCAGUGGACCUGGAAAUCAGAGGCC